UACAUGGGGUGCAAACGUUGCUCGGAAUCAUUUGGCGUAAAGAGCGUGUAGGCGGCCAGGUAGGUCUGCUGUGAAAACUCGAGGCUUAACCUCGAGCUGUCGGCGGAAACCAUCUGGCUAGAGUCCGGAAGAGGAGAAUGGAAUUCCCGGUGUAGCGGUGAAAUGCGCAGAUAUCGGGAAGAACACCCGUGGCGAAGGCGGUUCUCUGGGACGGUACUGACGCUGAGACGCGAAAGCGUGGGGAGCGAACAGG
rnacentral:rRNA from 1 species